GACAGAGGCCUCAAGCGUUAGGCGGAAUCACUGGGCUUAAAGCGUGUGUAGGCGGAUCGUUAAGUGUCUUGUGAAAUCCCACGGCUCACCCGUGGAACUGCUGGGCAUACUGGCGGUCUUGAGCCAUCUAGGGGCGACUGGAACAAACGGUGGAGCGGUGAAAUGCGUAGAUAUCGUUUGGAACGCCAAUGGUGAAAACAGGUCGCUGGGGAUGAGCUGACGCUGAGACACGAAAGCCAGGGGAGCAAACGGG
rnacentral:rRNA from 1 species